UACACCAGACAAACAUGUUUCCCCAGGCAAACCCUCCAGCUUCCAACAAUGGCAUGUUUCCCACCUCACUGCAUGUAAAGAUUGUUAAUAAUUUAUUCAUGAAGAUAGAAAAGUCGUGGGAUGAAGCGAAUUGGGGUCUGUGAAAGGAAAAGUAAAAUGAGCACUGAAAAUGAUGAGAACAUACACCAUUUCUUUGAUAAAUAAUUACUGAGCAUCCAAAAUUGACCAGGUAUUGUAUUAGGUAGGCAUUGUGUUAGGCACUAGGUAGGCAUUAGGUAGACAUUUACAGAACCUGUCCUUGUGGCAAUUACAGUAAACAAGGGAACAGGAUACUAAACAAGAAGUUAUAGUUACAAUGAAUGUCAUAAAGAAGAAAUGUGACAUGUGGAUGGAAUCAUAAAAGAGUUCUAAUCCGAAUUAAGCAGUCAGAAGAAGUUACAUUUAAGCGGAAUUUUGAAGGAUAAAUGGGCAUCAGCUGAUGAAAGAGGGAGGGGCAGUGGACACUUUCAAUCAGAGGGAACACCAUGUGUAAAGGACAUGAAGAGGAAAAUCUUGUUACUUUUAGACAUCUGAAGGAAGCCCAGUGUGGCUCGGACUUUGAGCAUUCCUAGAAGACAGUGAUGACCAGAACUUGAAGCUCUAACAUACAGAUAUUCCUGGAUAAAAACAGGGAAAGUGAGAAUGAUUGGCUCUAGAUAUACUCACGUUUUUUGCCAUAGGCCCUUGGAGGGCUGUUGACAAGAGAUACUGAGAAACUGGUGGCAUUUCCUGGCAUAUAACAGUUGACUAGCUUGAAAAUGUGAAUAAUGGAUGCCUUUCACGUAACAAUUGGAUUAAAGAAACCACCUCAAUAAAUACUCACUGAGCAUCUUCUCUAUGUAAGCCAUUGUAUGUGUGGAAGAUAUUGAAAAGAAUAAGUUUCCCUACAUCCCAGGAUCUUAUCACCUUUUCAGUAAAAGUAUAAUGAGAAAUGAUUAACUCUAAAAUGAGGCAGAGUGUAACAUACUAGUGUGGGUAGAGGGAAAAAUUCUCCCUUUCACAGGUGGAAGGUGACUUCUGAUCCACACUCUAGAAGAAAGCAAUAUUGGAGUGAACAACUUUAUCCCAUCUCUUCAUUUAUUACUUAUCUUUCCUUGUGGGAAAAAGAACCUAUCCAGUGCUGAUCUCAUAGAAUUUGGGUAUUCAGGGUGGAA